AGUGAACGCUGGCGGUAGGCCUAACACAUGCAAGUCGAACGGCAGCACAGUAAGAGCUUGCUCUUACGGGUGGCGAGUGGCGGACGGGUGAGGAAUACAUCGGAAUCUACUUUUUCGUGGGGGAUAACGUAGGGAAACUUACGCUAAUACCGCAUACGACCUACGGGUGAAAGCAGGGGAUCUUCGGACCUUGCGCGAUUGAAUGAGCCGAUGUCGGAUUAGCUAGUUGGCGGGGUAAAGGCCCACCAAGGCGACGAUCCGUAGCUGGUCUGAGAGGAUGAUCAGCCAAACUGGAACUGAGACACGGUCCAGACUCCUACGGGAGGCAGCAGUGGGGAAUAUUGGACAAUGGGCGCAAGCCUGAUCCAGCCAUACCGCGUGGGUGAAGAAGGCCUUCGGGUUGUAAAGCCCUUUUGUUGGGAAAGAAAAGCAGCAGGUUAAUACCCCGCUGUUCUGACGGUACCCAAAGAAUAAGCACCGGCUAACUUCGGGC
rnacentral:rRNA from 1 species